GGGGAAUAUUGGGCAAUGGACGCAAGUCUGACCCAGCGAUGCCGCGUGAAGGAUGGAAGGCCCUCGGGUUGUAAACUUCUUUAGACAGGGAAGAAAGAAAUGACAUUACCUGUAGAAUAAGCCACGGCUAACUACGUGCCAGCAGCCGCGGUAAUACGUAGGUGGCGAGCGUUAUCCGGAAUUACUGGGUGUAAAGGGCGCGUAGGCGGGUAUGCAAGUUGGAUGUGAAAUUCCGGGGCUUAACUCCGGAUUGUCAUCUAAAACUGUGUAUCUUGAGUGUCAGAGGGGAAAGUGGAAUUCCUAGUGGAGUGGUAAAAUGCGUAGAUAUUAGGAGGAACAUCGGUGGCGAAGGCGACUUUCUGGCUGACAACUGACGCUGAGGCGCGAAAGCGUGGGUAGCGAAC
rnacentral:rRNA from 1 species